UUGUAUACAUAAUAAAUAUUUAAAAAAAAACAAAAACAGGUCUUAUGGGUCCUUGCAGAGGUCCUGGGUUCAAUCCCAAACACCCACCUGGCGGACCAUAGCCACCUGUCUUUCCAGUGUCAGGGUUCUCUCACCCUGUUCCGGUGCCCACUGGUACCAGCAAAAUUCUCGUUUUACAGUUACGCUGCUCAGCAGGUGUCUGGAUGCCUGCACUGUGUCUGCUGUGCUAACGGAAAAGCAGGACUCGGUGCCAUCCGAGAUUUUACUUCUCUGGCCAGAUGGUGCCAAUUUUAGAAUCUCUAGUUAUAAAUAAAGCUGUCAGCUCUCUGAUGCCCAGAAAAAGAGACUCAAGACAUUUGAUACUUGCCAACAUGGUUUCUGUACAAGCGUCCCAGUAUUAACCCUGCUGUCCUCCAACCAUCACAUUCACAGCUUCUCCUGCAGUCUGGAAGUCUGGGGGAGGUUUCGGGUUGGAGCUGGUGCUGCCGCGGGGAGGCAGAACUAAAAGAAACUCGUGUUCACCAGCCAGCAAGAGACUGCGAUGUCGGGGCAGCACCACGGGGUCAUCGGCAACUUGUUUUCUUCUGCAGGAGCAUGACAUUUCCCCUCUAUUUCUGCUGGUAAAUGGAUUCCCCUAUGUAACCGUGGCUUAGAACUCACUACUGUAAGUAAAGGAUAACCACCAAGAUGACUCAACUAUUGAAAUAAUAUUUAUGUGUUUGUGGCAGAAGUUGGCGAUCUGGAUUUGAUCCUCAGAAUCCACAAUGAGAGGAGAGAACCGAUUCCCGAAAUUGUCCUCUGUCCUCUGUAUACUCACACAUACACAGUGAAAAAUAAAAUGAUUAUUUUAUAUA